AACGAACGCUGGCGGCAUGCCUAACACAUGCAAGUCGAACGGUAGAGGGGGCAACCCCUUGAGAGUGGCGAACGGGUGAGUAAUGCAUCGGAACGUGCCCAGUCGUGGGGGAUAACGCAGCGAAAGCUGUGCUAAUACCGCAUACGAUCUCUGGAUGAAAGCGGGGGACCGAAAGGCCUCGCGCGAUUGGAGCGGCCGAUGUCAGAUUAGGUAGUUGGUGGGGAAAAGGCUCACCAAGCCAACGAUCUGUAGCUGGUCUGAGAGGACGACCAGCCACACUGGGACUGAGACACGGCCCAGACUCCUACGGGAGGCAGCAGUGGGGAAUUUUGGACAAUGGGCGCAAGCCUGAUUCAGCAAUGCCGCGUGCAGGAAGAAGGCCUUCGGGUUGUAAACUGCUUUUGUACGGAACGAAAAGGUCUGGGUUAAUACCCUGGGCACAUGACGGUACCGUAAGAAUAAGCACCGGCUAACUACGUGCCAGCCGCCGCCGUAA
rnacentral:rRNA from 1 species